UCCAGCCCAAGGAACUGCCUGCCUGGCCAGCGAGGAAGAGCGCGUCCCUGCCGGCCUACGCAGCAGAAAGUGGAAAUGGGUUCUGCAGGAUGCUUCAACGUGCACCGAAUUCGCGCAAGAAUCCUCUACUGAUGCCAGAUCUCUGGGCUAGCCUGCUGCAGGAUGAAAGACACCACUCAGCAGCAGUGGAGCCAUCCCAGAUGCUGAUGUGUAGCUGAUACCCGAGUGAGCCCUGCUGAGUCUGGUUCAGAUGAUCAGAAGCAUCCUGCCAGCCCACAGACUCAUGAGCAGUACUACACGGUUGUUAUUUGAAGCUACUGAACCUUGGGGUGUUUUGUCACACAGCAACAGCUAACUGAUAUACCUGCUCACCUCCUUUCUUCUGCUUCUUCCUUCAUUCUUCUGCUCCUGGACUUGGUCAAGAUCCUCCAGCUGGGUAGUUAUGUGUCUGUGGGUUAUUUCUCCACCAUCUGCCCUUGAGGGCUGGGUGUUGGGAAGGCAGCCUGCUGGAAAGUCACCCUUGCAGACCCUGGAAAUCAGCUGAGGAUAGGCUCCACUGGGCAAACUGCCCCCACUGAUGAGAAGAGGCUGCUCUACAGUCUCUGGUUUGUUCCUGGACAAUUCCCUCCUUCUCUUUGGAUCAGUUACUCUCUAACUGCUGUUUGGCUGUCACCCAAGGACUGCUACUCCUUAUCCUCCUAGGAUGGACUCACUUUCUUCUUGGAGCCCUUCCCCAAGGUGUAUCCCCUUUUUGGUGGAGAGAAAUCCCAAAUAACUUCUCGAAAUGUGUGCAAGGUCAACCUUGAGUCCUUUCAGAUCUGAAAAGAUCUAUUUGCCUUUAAACGCUGGCUUGUCCUAGAUGUCUAGGUUCAAAAUUCCUUUCCCCUAGAAAUUUGGAGGCAGUCCUCCACUUUCUUCUGGCAGCUGGAGUACCUGAUGAGGCAGCUGAUGCCAAAAUGUUCCUUCCCUACAUCCGCCUAUUUUGGAAGCUUGUAGGAUAUUUCCACUAUUCUUGAUAUUCUGGAAUUUUGUGCUGAUGUCCCAUGGGCCUUCUUUUAUUCACUAUGCUGGGCAUUUGAGUUCCCUUCAAACUGAAGACCCAGGUGCUUCAGUUCUGGGAAAUUGUCUCCUAUUAUUAUAUUAUUAUUUUACUAUUUCUGUCCCUUUCUCUCUGUCUUCUAUUUUUGAGUCUAUUAGAUAUUUCAACCUCAUGGAUUGAUUUUCUUGCUUUCUUAUCUUUUCUCUCAUUUUUAAAAACCUUUUUACCUUGUUGUCCCAUACUGUGGGAAAUUUUAUUGUACAUAUAGACAUAGAUAUAUGUGCACACAUGUGUGUAGACAAAUAAAUGUGUAUAUGUAUUUUUU